AUCCAUCUGACGAGUCCCAAAUAGGAUAGACGAAAUGCGCAUCCUGGAU
rnacentral:hammerhead_ribozyme from 1 species